rnacentral:rRNA from 1 species
AGUGAACGCUGGCGGUAGGCCUAACACAUGCAAGUCGAACGGCAGCACAGUAAGAGCUUGCUCUUACGGGUGGCGAGUGGCGGACGGGUGAGGAAUACAUCGGAAUCUACUUUUUCGUGGGGGAUAACGUAGGGAAACUUACGCUAAUACCGCAUACGACCUACGGGUGAAAGCAGGGGAUCUUCGGACCUUGCGCGAUUGAAUGAGCCGAUGUCGGAUUAGCUAGUUGGCGGGGUAAAGGCCCACCAAGGCGACGAUCCGUAGCUGGUCUGAGAGGAUGAUCAGCCACACUGGAACUGAGACACGGUCCAGACUCCUACGGGAGGCAGCAGUGGGGAAUAUUGGACAAUGGGCGCAAGCCUGAUCCAGCCAUACCGCGUGAGUGAAGAAGGCCUUCGGGUUGUAAAGCCCUUUUGUUAGGAAAGAAAAGCAGCAGGUUAAUACCCCGCUGUUCUGACGGUACCCAAAGAGUAAGCACCGGCUAACUUCGUG